rnacentral:rRNA from 1 species
AGAGUUUGAUCCUGGCUCAGGACGAACGCUGGCGGCGCGCCUAAUACAUGCAAGUCGAGCGAGUCUGCCUUGAAGAUCGGAGUGCUUGCACUCUGUGAAACAAGAUACAGGCUAGCGGCGGACGGGUGAGUAACACGUGGGUAACCUGCCCAAGAGAUCGGGAUAACACCUGGAAACAGAUGCUAAUACCGGAUAACAACAGAUGAUGCCUAUCAACUGUUUAAAAGAUGGUUCUGCUAUCACUCUUGGAUGGACCUGCGGUGCAUUAGCUAGUUGGUAGGGUAACGGCCUACCAAGGCGAUGAUGCAUAGCCGAGUUGAGAGACUGAUCGGCCACAUUGGGACUGAGACACGGCCCAAACUCCUACGGGAGGCAGCAGUAGGGAAUCUUCCACAAUGGACGCAAGUCUGAUGGAGCAACGCCGCGUGAGUGAAGAAGGGUUUCGGCUCGUAAAGCUCUGUUGUUGGUGAAGAAGGACAGGGGUAGUAACUGACCUUUGUUUGACGGUAAUCAAUUAGAAAGUCACGGCUAACUACGUGCCAACCGCCGCGGU